GUAGUACUCCAUCUGUCCCAAAAUUCUUGUCUUCGAUUUAUCUAAAUUCGGAUGUAUCAAGUCACAUUUUAGUAUUAGGUACAUCCAUAUCUAGACAAAUUUAAGACAAGAAUUUUGGGAUGGAGAGAGUAUCAU
rfam:Triticum aestivum genome assembly, contig: Triticum_aestivum_CS42_TGACv1_scaffold_049731_1BS